rnacentral:rRNA from 1 species
CCGCGUGAGGAGGAAGGCCCUAGGGGUGGAAGAAGAGUUUGUACGGAAAAAACCCCUCUACGUGUAGGGGCUGACGGUACCGUAAGAAUAAGGAUCGGCUAACUCCGUGCCAGCAGCCGCGGUAAUACGGAGGAUCCAAGCGUUGUCCGGAUUUAUUGGGUUUAAAGGGUGCGUAGGCGGAUUACUAAGUCAGAGGUGAAAGUUUGCAGCUUAACUGUAAAAUUGCCUUUGAAACUGGGAGUCUUGAGUAUAGUUGAGGUGGGCGGAAUGUGUCAUGUAGCGGUGAAAUGCUUAGAUAUGAUACAGAACACCGAUUGCUAAGGCAGCUCACUAAACUGUAACUGACGCUGAGGCACGAAAGCGUGGGGAGCAAACAGGAUUAGAUACCCUGGUAGUCCACGCCCUAAACGUUGAAUACUCGUUGUUGGCGAUAUACAGUCAGCGACUAAGCGAAAGCAUUAAGUAUUCCACCUGGGGAGUACGACCGCAAGGUUGAAACUCAAAUGAAUUGACGGA